CAGGGAAGUACCGCCGUGUAAUCCAUUUAUUUCAACAAAGUAACUGUAUUCUGAAUACCACCUUUUUAAACGGUAACUGUAACGGAAUACAGUUACUCAUAUUUUGUAUUCUGAAUACGUAACGGCGGUACAUGUAUUCCGUUACUCCCCAACACUGUCACUAGGAGAUCAGAAACAUGGUGUCCUUGCAAAAGUGGAAAGAGGCCAGGCCUUGUCUUAUAGACAAAAUGUUAUCUACUCUGGAUCCACAGUCACACCGUGUGUGUCAGUGUGGCAAACAAGUAGUUGUGAGGUGUCUGGACUGCCUGCCUCUUCCAUUCCUUUGUGCUGACUGUGAUAUUGCAGUUCACACACGCUUUGUCCUGCACAACCAAGAGGCAGUAACAGGAGGGUUUUUGCAGCCUUCAUCAGAGUUUCACAAGCCAAUAGGUACGGUUUUUAAGUCCUAUGCAUUUCUUGCUAUGUUCUAUGAGUGGGUGCUGUUAUUGUAUAUUUAUUGUGUAUCAGUUAAUUUCCAAUUCUUUUUAUAUAUAUUGUGUGUUUUUUAAUGUUAGUUCGGCUGUUGCCUGUGCAAAGGCCAGACCAUGUGUGUGACUGCCAAGCAGGUAACGUUGAGGUUUCACCCGGCGCAGUUGUGGCUCUUGUAACCAUAAAUGGCCGUUAUAACCUUGCACUGCCAGUGGUGAGCUGCACCAGCUGUGACUUAAUGUGGUCCCCCUCAGUUAAGGACAUCCUGGGUAGUGGAUAUUGGCCUGGCACCUUAAAUUUCUGCACCCUGUUUUCAAUGGAUGCCUUUCAGUCUUUCUAUGACAUUAAGAAGGCUGCACCAGGGAUGUCACUUAAGGCAUUUGUCAAAAUGCUGGAUGAAAGAACAGCCCAUUUUUGAAGGACUGGCCGAAUAUCAGCUGAUGCCUUCAGUAAAAGCUUUGUGGAGUGGAGUGCUGUUUGAGAUGGACAGGAUGUGCAAGGAGCCAUGCGUUAGCUGCCCUGCCUGCACUCCAGACGUGCUUGCCGUCUCAGUUGAUGGAAACUGGAAGCUUUAUCGCAUUCAAUCAAAUACAAGGUGGCUCAGCUGAGGAACCUCUUGUCAAUGCGUCCAUUUCUCUCCGUCAUGCAUGCAAAGGCUCUCAUUUGGAAAUGCGAGGGCGAACAGACAUGCUGACCCUCCUGGCUUUGGGGUGGACCAAAAGGAAAGUGGAACAACUGGGCCGCAGUUUGAGCCAGAGAUAUCUAAAGAUCAUAAGGAUCCUUAGAGAACAAAUGGAGAGCCUGAAUAUGACCAGAAAUGAGCUGGGUGUGGAUGACGACACACUGCAGCAAUGGGUGGCCGAUGUGCAGAAAUGGGCUGAAAGUGAGUCUCAAUAUAACACACUCGUGUAUAACAAUAGGACCCACCAUGGCCUCAUUAAAGAACUUAAGGUAGAGUUAAUAUCUUUCUGACAGUGUCAACAAACAAAGAAAAAUAAGCCUUGUAAAAGUGGAAUUUAUGGCAGAGUUUUUGCGUUUCAUCAAAUUGGAUUGAACCUGGGUUGAAAUGAUGUCGUACUAGUUGGUUUUAUAAACCUGAACACCGACAUACUUGUUAUCUAAUGAUAAUGCAGCACAUGAAGGCUACAGAUGUCUUAUAAUGAAUAUCAUCAAGUCAG
ensembl:lncRNA